ACGAAAAAUAACGAUACGGGACUCAUCCGAGGCCCCGUAAUCGGAAUGAGUACACUCUAAACCCUUUAACGAGGAUCAAUUGGAGGGCAAGUCUGGUGCCAGCAGCCGCGGUAAUUCCAGCUCCAAUAGCGUAUAUUAAAGUUGUUGCGGUUAAAAAGCUCGUAGUCGAAUUUGUGUCCCGCGCCGCCGGUUCAUCGCUCGCGGUGUCAACUGGCGUGUCCGCGGGACGUCCUGCCGGUGGGCUUAGCCUUUCGGGGCGGCCCAAUCUCAAUCCCAUCGCGGUGCUCUUCACUGAGUGUCGAGGUGGGCCGGCACGUUUACUUUGAACAAAUUAGAGUGCUUAAAGCAGGCUAAAUACCGCCUGAAUACUGGUGCAUGGAAUAAUGGAAUAGGACCUCGGUUCUAUUUUGUUGGUUUUCGGAACCCCGAGGUAAUGAUUAAUAGGAACGGAUGGGGGCAUUCGUAUUGCGACGUUAGAGGUGAAAUUCUUGGAUCGUCGCAAGACGGACAGAAGCGAAAGCAUUUGCCAAAAACGCUUUCAUUGAUCAAGAACGAAAGUUAGAGGUUCGAAGGCGAUCAGAUACCGCCCUAGUUCUAACCAUAAACGAUGCCAGCUAGCGAUCCGCCGACGUUCCUCCGAUGACUCGGCGGGCAGCUUCCGGGAAACCAAAGCUUUUGGGUUCCGGGGGAAGUAUGGUUGCAAAGCUGAAACUUAAAGGAAUUGACGGAAGGGCACCACCAGGAGUGGAGCCUGCGGCUUAAUUUGACUCAACACGGGAAACCUCACCAGGCCCGGACACCGGAAGGGAUUGACAGAUUGAGAGC
rnacentral:rRNA from 1 species